rnacentral:rRNA from 1 species
AAAUAAAGAAAGAUUCCGUGCAUCUUCCUCCUACCGUUCACUCCUCCUACCGCUCCCUUAUCUCCCAAAAAUGGACAUCUUCAGCCAUGGAAAAAAUUGAUCCAAGAAUCCGCCGGGGUGCGACGCCGAGUCGACGCUAGUUCCAAUCCCAUGCGCGGCGCCGACUGUGCUCUUCUCUCCACUCGCCGUUCCCCCAAAAUGAAACUCUCGACCCAACCACUGCCGGGGUCGUUCAAUUUCUCAGAGAUAGAUCUGACAAAGCAACCACUAUGGGAUAUAUCAGAUAUGCAGUGAGGUGAUGUAUGUGUGGUGUAGAGAUGGGUUGUAGAGGAGUCCUCAGAUGUACAUUCAAUUAUAUUGCGUUCAUGUCAGAGCUAUGAGACAGAUUAAGGCAUGAGUCGUGAUAUUGAAAUUGCGGAUACUUAGUAAAUUGAAGGUCUAUGUACAAUUUUCUCAAUAUCAGUUGAGUCCGGGAACACGACAAUUUGCUCACCUUGAAGAUGGAAUUGCAGUCUCUGUACAGAAGGCUGCCGGUGCUGAAGUUCAAAUCCAAAGAUACGCCAAGAUGCUUCACCUGCGGAUAGGUAUCGUGCAUCAAGGCCACUUUGGGUUGCAUGUGAAAGUGAUAAACAGAUCUGGAUAUCCAGCCCACCGACAUAUGGCCAUUGCAUCCUGACCGCUAUAUAGCUCUGUUCUAAGCGUCCCUUGAUGCAUCCUGUACCAAUUGAGCCUCCAUUGCUCAAUGCAUGUUGCUGCGUCUAUGAUGAACUGAAGGAAUAGCUUGCCACUCGUUUGCAAGACUACUGACUGGUUCAGUCGCUGCUGGAUGCGAUAUGCAUAAUACUCCAUCAUGGUCGAAAUUUUGCUGCUGCUGGAAUGACUCUCACGUUUUUAAUGAGAUGUGAGUUAUUUGUCCAAACCUGGGUGAUUAGAGCAGAUCAGAAAGGACGGCGGCCUGUUCGUGUUCGUGAUGGAAGCGAGGGAAGGUGCUCUCUGUUGUUGGCGAUGAGAGAUGUUGUAGAAGCUGUUCUCUGCAGCGUGAAGCCGGAGACGCGUGCGAGAAGAAUUACGAUCUAUGGGAUGGCCUCACGUCAAGCAUAUAACCUGGAGAACGAAAAAACACCUGAUGUGUACGUGAUGUAUAUAUUCACAAAUAUAUAUAUACACAGCCAUGCAUGUGUUUGUGUUGCCAAAGACAUUACGUUUGGGUGUCCUUUUCUUUUUGGACAAUUAAAGUACGAUAUGCGACCAUUGUUGGGAAUAAAAAUAGAAGGCCGACAUUUUUUUU